rfam:Triticum aestivum genome assembly, contig: Triticum_aestivum_CS42_TGACv1_scaffold_132394_2BL
AUAGUACUCCCUCCAUCCGAAAAUACUCGUCGAAGAAAUAGAUGUAUCUAGACAUAUUUUAGUUUUAGAUACAUCCACUUUUAUCCAUUUGUGCGACAAGUAAUUCCGGACGGAGGGAGUAGAAA